UUGGAAAUUGCUUGAAAUUCAAAUGGUGGC
rnacentral:piRNA from 1 species